GCCCUCGUAGCUCAGGGGAUAGAGCAUCGGCCUCCGGAGCCGUGUGCGCGCGUUCGAAUCGCGCCGAGGGCA
rnacentral:tRNA from 1 species